AAACCGUGUGAUGAUUUUUGGAUUAAUAUUCUCACGAUGGUCAUCUGAGGUACUUUUUUGUGUGCCUAACUGAUGAAACGUCCGAACCUUCUGAUGGUU
rnacentral:snoRNA from 1 species